AGACCGUUGGUGAAGUGGUUAUCAUGCUUGCCUUCCAUACCACUUAAAGACGCAAGGGUGAUAGCAAGCGGCUCGGGUUCGAUUCCCGAACGGUGUA